GAAACGACUGCUAAGACUGGAACCGAAGGGGGAUUGCAAGCCGCCCGUCACUAAAGACCUAGUAAUAGGUAUGCUUUAGGGAGGGGCUUGUGCCAUAUUAGUUAGUUGGUAGGGUAAUGGCCUACCCAAGACGAUUGAUGUGUAGCUGGACUGAGAGGUUGAACAGCCACAUUAGGACUUGAGACACGGCCCAAACUCCUACGGGAGGCAGCCAGUAGGGAAUUUUCGGCAAUGGAGGAAACUCUGACCGAGCAACGCCGCGUGAAUGACGAAGUACUUCGGUAUGUAAAGUUCUUUUAUCAAGGAAGAAAAGCAAAUGGCGAACCAUUUGUUUGCCGGUACUUGAUGAAUAAGCCCCGGCUAAUUAUGUGCCAGCAGCCGCGGUAAGACAUAAGGGGCAAGUGUUAUCCGGAAUUAUUGGGCGUAAAGGGUGCGUAGGCGGUCUAGUAAGUCAGUGGUGUAAUGGCAACGCUUAACGUUGUCCGGCUAUUGAAACUGCUAAACUUGAGUUAGAUAGAGGCGAGUGGAAUUCCAUGUGUAGCGGUAAAAUGCGUAAAUAUAUGGAGGAACACCAGAGGCGUAGGCGGCUCGCUGGGUCUUAACUGACGCUGAGGCACGAAAGCGUGGGGAGCAAACAGGAUUAGAUACCCUGGUAGUCCACGCCGUAAACGAUGAGUACUAAGUGUCGGGAAAGGCCGGUACUGAAGUUAACACAUUAAGUACUCCGCCUGAGUAGUACGUACGCAAGUAUGAAACUUAAAGGAAUUGACGGGACUCCGCACAAGCGGUGGAUCAUGUUGUUUAAUUCGAAGAUACCCGAAAAACCUUACCAGGUCUUGACAUGUUUUUGCAAAAUGAUAGUAAUAUCGUGGAGGUUACCAGAAACACAGGUGGUGCAUGGUUGUCGUCAGCUCGUGGCUGAGAUGUUAGGUUAAGUCCUAAAACGAGCGAAACCCUUAUCGUUAGUUGCCAGCACGUUAUGGUGGGGACUUUAACGAGACUGGUCAUGAUAAAUUGGAGGAAGGUGAGGAUCACGUCAAAUCAGCAUGCCCCUUAUGACCUGGGCUACAAACGUGAUACAAUGGCUGUUACAAAAGGGGCUGAAACGCAAGUUCUUGGCCAAUCCCCAAAAACAGUCCCCACCCGGAUUGAAGUCUGCUUCUCGACUUCAACAAGUUGGGUAGGCUAGUAAUCCGGGAUCAGACUUGCCCGGUGAUUGUUCUCGGGGUUUGUACACACCGCCCGUCA
rnacentral:rRNA from 1 species